rnacentral:rRNA from 1 species
GACGAACGCUGGCGGCGUGCCUAAUACAUGCAAGUAGGACGCAGUUGCGAACGGGUGAGUAACGCGUAGGAACCUGCCUAUUAGAGGGGGCUAACUAUUGGAAACGAUAGCUAAUACCCAAAUCUAGUCUAUGGACCUUCGUUGUAUUAGCUUGUAGGUAGGGUAACGGCCCACCAAGGCGCUGAUCAGUAGCAGGUCUGAGAGUAUGGUCAGUCAGACUGGAACUGAGACACGGUCCAGACUCCUACGGGAGGCAGCAGUGGGGAAUAUUGGACAAUGGGCGAAAGCCUGAUCCAGCCAGGCCGCGUGUGUGAAGAAGGUCUUCGGAUUGGAAAGCACUUUAAGUUGGGAGGCGUUACCAACAGAAUAAGCACCGGCUAACUACGUGCCAGCCGCCGCGGUAAUAC